CUACGUGCCAGCAGCCGCGGUAAUACGUAGGGUGCGAGCGUUAAUCGGAAUUACUGGGCGUAAAGCGAGCGCAGACGGUCACUUAAGCAGGAUGUGAAAUCCCCGGGCUCAACCUGGGAACUGCGUUCUGAACUGGGUGACUAGAGUGUGUCAGAGGGAGGUAGAAUUCCACGUGUAGCAGUGAAAUGCGUAGAGAUGUGGAGGAAUACCGAUGGCGAAGGCAGCCUCCUGGGAUAACACUGACGUUCAUGCUCGAAAGCGUGGGUAGCAAACAGGAUUAGAUACCCUGGUAGUCCACGCCCUAAACGAUGUCAAUUAGCUGUUGGGCAACUUGAUUGCUUAGUAGCGUAGCUAACGCGUGAAAUUGACCGCCUGGGGAGUACGGUCGCAAGAUUAAAACUCAAAGGAAUUGACGGGGACCCGCACAAGCGGUGGAUGAUGUGGAUUAAUUCGAUGCAACGCGAAGAACCUUACCUGGUCUUGACAU
rnacentral:rRNA from 1 species